rnacentral:rRNA from 1 species
AACGAACGCUGGCGGCAGGCCUAACACAUGCAAGUCGAACGAACCUUCGGGUUAGUGGCGCACGGGUGCGUAACACGUGGGAAUAUACAUUUCGGUAAGGAAUAACACAGAGAAAUUUGUGCUAAUACCUUAUAAUGACUCCGGUCCAAAGAUUUAUCGCCGAAGGAUUAGCCCGCGCUAGAUUAGUUUGUUGGUGAGGUAAGAGCUCACCAAGACUACGAUCUAUAGCUGGUCUUAGAGGAUGAUCAGCCACACUGGAACUGAGCCACGGUCCAGACUCCUACGGGAGGCAGCAGUGAGGAAUAUUGGACAAUGGGGGCAACCCUGAUCCAGCCAUGCCGCGUGAAUGAAGAAGGCCUUAGGGUUGUAAAAUUACUUUCAGAUGCGAAGAUAAUGACGGUACCAUCAGAAGAAAGCUCCGGCUAAAUUCGUG